AUGGCGGAGGAACCGUCCGCCAAGCGUCAUCAUGCCGAGACGUCGGACAAGAGCAGCAACCUCGUCGACAUUAACGUCCCCGGCGAGAAGCGCGAGUACACAACAACCCUCAAAAGGGUUGAGCUCCACGGCAACGAGACGCUGGAGAUCGUCUGCACCAGCAUACCAGAAAAGGCCGACGAGGUGAUCGCCAGGCUCUGGAGGAAGCUUGGCGGCAGGACUCGUAGGAUCGUCGGUGUUGGUGUGCACUACACCAACGAAGAUGAACCUCUCCAGAUGGCAGCAGUCCUGCAGUUGUGCGUCGACGAACUCUGCUUGGUGUACCACAUCGCAGCGGCCAAAAAAUGGUGA
rnacentral:rRNA from 1 species